UGUUGACAGAACUUCACAAUGGAUGGUAUAGUCGUGGAGGUUCUUGGCGUCCCCAAUAUCCUUGCCUCUGAUAGAAUGGUUGACAAGCUCACUAUACACUUCCUGCGACCACGGAACGGGGGAGGAGAGGUGCAGAGAGUGCUGUUUCCAUCUGAUAGCCCGGGACAGGCCUUUGUCAUAUUUGAGGAACCAGAAGUGGCUGCCCGUGUCUCGCGGUUGACCCAUGUGUUGGAGGUGGACCAACAACAAUUUUGUCUCAAAGUCAGAAUAGUUGACAGGCCUGAGGUGGACAUGCCAGUCAAGGCAACUCUGGAUGUGAGAAUGUUCCCCAAUGACAGAGAGGUGCGGCGACUCCUAGACAUCCAUGGCUUUAAGGUGAACGAGCUUCAACAUGGUCAGCUGCUUGUCCAGGGCUCCUUUCUGAAGCUCAGAGCAGUGAAGGCCCAACUGCAGCAGCUCCUACACCAAGACAACCAGCCCCAAUACAACCCUUCCCCACCUAGCCUCAGUGGCCAUGCCUCUGGGACCUACAAAGAAUCCACCAGGAUGCACCAGACCAAUGGCACUGCAAUGCAUGCUGGGAACAUGAGUCCUAUGUAUGCUGGGAGCAGGAGUCCUAUUUCAGUCAAUGGAGAGCAGUUUGCACAUGUCCUGCAGUCUUCUUCCCCUACCAACUAUUCACGGGACUCAGGGUCACCUUGUAGCCUCUCCAGCCCCCGGAGUGACAACCUAUCUCCCAGUCUUCUGGCACCAGGGUAUGGGGCCAAUGUGACCCACAGGAGGAACCCAUCUCCCAGCAGGUCUCGCAGUGUGGUCUCCUUCCUAAUGGACGCAGAUGUGCUCCGAUAUGCCCAGUGCGUCAGGAAAAAAGACAUUGAUACAAUCCUUGUAAGCAACAACAUUCAAAUGAAUGUGCAGCCUAGUGAAUGUUCCGAUAUCAGUUCUGUUAGCCUCGAGGGGAAGAACCCAAAUGCUGCUAUGGAAAAGCUGCAAGACUAUCUCACUACACUCAACACAACACUACGCACCCAAGAAAUCCCACUGGGAACAAUCGAUCACAACGGGCAGGUUAGAAUUAGUAAACGGAUUCAGAAGUUUAAUAGUGUUUAUCCUACUGUCCUCGUCAAUCAGGUCGGAGAUAUUCUCCGCCUUGUAGGGCCUUCCAGGGACAGUUAUGACAUGAUGCAGAUUCUCUUGGGAAAACCCCUAGAACUUCCACCAGCCGGGCGAACAGGGAGGGCACUGGACAGGGGCUCAAGGGACAGGAGAAGCAGUUCUCUAUCGAGUCUGCCCAAAAGGAAGGAUGCCCCCAUCCCAUGGGAUCAUGACACUGCCCCUGUGUCUGCUGCUGUACCAGAUUACUCCCCCUCAAAGUACCAGGGUGACUCUGGGCAUGAAAGGACUGUACAGAGGGCUGGAAGCCCAGUACCCUAUACAUCCACCCCCAGUCACAGGGGAAGAAGUCACUCUGAUUCACAGGAGAAAGUAAAGGAGCAGAGAGUAACACAGAGGGACUUCUCGAGGCAAGAAAGGGUGGAUGAUGUGGUAGGGCCCUCUGCUGGAGCUCAGAUGCCAGUGAUGAAAAAGAAGUCAUUACUUCCCAAAAUUCCUACCAACAAAGCAGGUUGGAAGGAUGUGCUAUCAGGGAAAAAAAAGAAAAAGCCAUAACAAGUCACUAGUUUACAUUCUGACACCUAUAAUACAAUUGGCUUUAACUGUGUAUUUCUUGAAUAUCUUAUAUGUCAUGAUGUGGGGCAUAAAAUUGAUUAUGACAGAUUCUAAUAUGUUCUUUCUUGUGGUCUGUUUUGAAACUACUAUUGUUAAUAAAUGUGGUUGAUUUUAUUUAUAUUUAUUGAGGGUUAAAGAGAAUGACAAAUGUAUUAUAUUUGUAAAUCUUUUUUUGUUGCUGUGAUAUUUGUUAUUAUUUUCAUUGUGUUUGAGACUAAAUCACUUUCGAAAGGUUUUGUAUAAAAUAUGCAAAUGAAAACGCAAUUCGUUUCUGGAGUAGACUUUCAAUGUAGCCUAAUGAUUAAUCAUAAUCUAUCUGUGUUGAUUAUUUGGAACAAUUUGCCUAUUCUGGGAUGAUCUCAUUCAAUCACUUGUGGAAACUGUCAUGGAAUGUGUUAAUUUAAAUUCUUCACAUAGAUUAAAAUCAACAUAUUCUCUCUUUAGAAUUGCCAUUGACUCCACAUUCCACUUAAUUCUGUUACUAUAUCAGUCUGCCUCUAUGCUUUUGCCUUAGUAUCUGGUUGUGUGCUUCUUGUCAGACUGAUUCUGUGUGUGUAACUUCUGGACUCAGAGUGUCAUGUUGUGUGAUGAUGGAGUCAGAAGCAGAUGAGAGAGGAAGUGCUCACUGACACAGCCAUCCCCCCCUCUCUACACAGGAUGUGAGGCGGCCCCACGCAUUCGACAUGACAGAACACAAGGCACACUGACAGAGGAAGUGCUGAUCAGAGAUAAGCAGGUUAGGAGGGGGUGAGUGGUAGUGCAGUCUAUGGAAUGAUACUUAUGAGGUAAUGGGGCAUGUUCUUAAUAUUAUGAAAAAACAUUAAGCACACCUUCCUUAUAUUGACUUGCAACUCCGCCUUUUUGCCCUCAGAACAGCUUCAAUUCGUCAUGGACUGCAAGGUGUCGAAAGCGUUCCACAGGGAUGCUGGCCCAUGUUGACUCCUGGAGUGUUGCAGUUCUUGACACACGUACACAGUCCAUGUCUCAAUUGUCUCAAGGCUUAAAAAUCUUGAACCUGUCCCCCCCUUCAUCUACACUGAUUGAAGUGGUUUUAAUACAUGACGUCAAUAAGGGAUCAUCAUACUGUAGGGUUCACCUGGAUUCACCUGGUCAGUCUAAGUCAUAAUGUUUUGUACACUCAAGACAAUUCCGUUUUUUUCCCCCAAUUACUGGCAAAAGAGCUAAUCUGAUUGUUAAAAAAUACUGUUAGUGGAAAAAUAGAAUGAGGCUGCCUGUGUAAACGCAGCUUUAGAGAAGCAAAAACCACUCCUAGCCAAUGAGUGCUCUGAGGUUUUAUGUUGACGUCCAUUGCCUCAUCAUACACUGUUUCCCAAACAACGUUGGUUCACACGUAGAAAAACAAAUAGCUGAGUUCAAAUGUAAGAUGUUAGAUGACCACCAACGACUAAGGCUGCGACUCAGAGGCUGACAGAAGUACACUGACUGAAAUGUCUGAAAACAGAUUUUGUUUGUUAACUACAUUUUAUUAUUUGGCAAUAUUGACAAAGACUGAAUCCCUCUUUGUCCUCUCAUACACUGAUGCCACCCCCACACAAUGUAUCACCAUCCUUUUCCAGAGGUUGGUAGAAGACUGCUCUUCAUACGUUCUGACUCAUGUCUGGAGCCAGAUUACCUGUCCUGCAUUGGGAAAUACCAUACUGUUGAAACAGAGUGGAAAUCUUGGUUGUCUACACAGGAAUCGGUCAAUCUCGCAAAUUUUACAGAAAUAUUUUGCCUUCAAUUAUGAUGUGGUUUAAUGUCUGAUAAGGAUGAGCCUGAUGUCUAGCUCAUGACAAACCCCAGGGGGAUGAUGAAUGCUGCUGUGGAGUCAGAAGCAGGAAAUGCCCUGAUCCUUCCCAGGAGAUAAGGGAACGUUGUUCUCAAAUUUACAGCAGAUUUACAGGAUUAACUGUACAUGGUUGGCAGUGGAGAGAGCCUAUGUGUCUCUGUUCUGUUUUUAUUUUCUGUCAAAUAUGUGAAGUCUUAACAGAAAAAAGAGGCAUGCAAAGGGAGGCUGAAAGACAGAGAGAAGGAAAGAGAGAGUGAGAGAGCUCGAAAGAUGGAGAUACACGCAAGUAUGGCGGAAAGAGAGAAAGAGACAGUGAGAGGGAGAGCCUGAGAGAGCUUCUGCAAUGGUUCACUCGCUGUGGUCUAUCUCCCACGGAAACAAGGAGGUCUGGAGGCCUGUGGCAGGAAAAGGAGGAUGCAGAAGUGCUGUAUGUAUUUAAUGAUAGCUCUUCUCUGUUCUGUUAUGUACACUAUAUAUACCCGCUACAAACACAACACACGCACACACACACUCACUCUCCCACUAGCCACAGACAUCAAUUAAACAUCUAUUCCAUGUUGGUUCAAUGUAAUAAUGUUGAUUCAACCAGUGUGUGCCUU
rnacentral:lncRNA from 1 species